UGGCUAGGGGGUCAUGGCGACUUACCAAACCAAGGCAAACUCCGAAUACCGAUGAGUACAGCUUGGGAGACAGAGCACCGGGUGCUAACGUCCGGACUCAAGAGGGAAACAACCCAGACCGCCAGCUAAGGUCCCUAAAAUUGGCUAAGUGGGAAACGAAGUGGGAAGGCUAUAACAGUCAGGAUGUUGGCUUAGAAGCAGCCAUCCUUUAAAGAAAGCGUAAUAGCUCACUGAUCGAGUCGUCCUGCGCGGAAGAUGUAACGGGGCUAAGCCAGUUACCGAAGCUGCGGAUGUGCAAUUUAUUGCACGUGGUAGGAGAGCGUUCUGUAAGCCUGUGAAGGUGGCGGUGUAAACCCUGCUGGAGGUAUCAGAAGUGCGAAUGCUGACAUGAGUAGCGUUAAAGGGGGUGAAAAGCCCCCUCGCCGUAAGCGCAAGGUUUUCUACGCAACGUUCAUCGGCGUAGAGUGAGUCGGCCCCUAAGGCGAGGCAGAGAUGCGUAGCUGAUGGGAAACAGGUCAAUAUUCCUGUACCGAUGUGUAGUGCGAUGUGGGGACGGAGAAGGUUAGCUCAGCCAACUGUUGGAUAUGUUGGUUCAAGCCUGUAGUCGUGCCUGGUAGGUAAAUCCGCCGGGCUUAGAUGAGGGGUGAUAACGAGUCUGCUUGCAGACGAAGUGAGUGAUACCCUGCUUCCAGGAAAAGCCACUAAGCUUCAGCUACACACGACCGUACCGCAAACCGACACUGGUGCGCGAGAUGAGUAUUCUAAGGCGCUUGAGAGAACUCAGGAGAAGGAACUCGGCAAAUUGACACCGUAACUUCGGAAGAAGGUGUGCCUUUAGUAGGUGAAGGGAUUUACUCCUGGAGCCCAAUGAGGUUGCAAAAAAUCGGUGGCUGCGACUGUUUAUUAAAAACACAGCACUCUGCAAACACGAAAGUGGACGUAUAGGGUGUGAUGUCUGCCCGGUGCUGGAAGGUUAAUUGAUGGGGUUAGCGUAUGCGAAGCUCUUGAUCGAAGCCCCAGUAAACGGCGGCCGUAACGAUAACGGUCCUAAGGUAGCG
rnacentral:rRNA from 1 species